rfam:Cephalotus follicularis DNA, scaffold: scaffold3377, isolate: St1.
AUGGCAUGAUGGGGACAUAUUCGGAUGAGGUCUUUUAAUCAUUCCCAUGACUCAUGGAACUGCUCACCAUCUUGCUGUGAGAAACUAGUGAGAGGUCACCUUAUUUU